rnacentral:rRNA from 1 species
UACGAAGGGGAGCUAGCGUUGCUCGGAAUCACUGGGCGUAAAGCGCACGUAGGCGGCUUUAUAAGUCGGGGGUGAAAGCCUGUGGCUCAACCACAGAAUUGCCUCGAUACUGUAUGGCUUGAGACCGGAAGAGGUAAGUGGAACUGCGAGUGUAGAGGUGAAAUUCGUAGAUAUUCGCAAGAACACCAGUGGCGAAGGCGGCUUACUGGUCCGGUUCUGACGCUGAGGCGCGAAAGCGUGGGGAGCAAACAGG